rnacentral:lncRNA from 1 species
UUUAUACCAAAAUGAAGCCCUAAGCAUGUAGAAUCACGUCAAACAAGUUUCAAGAUCUAAAAUCUACUAGAUCUUACUUGAGGAAGCUCGAUAAUCCGGCCAAAUUUGAAAAGCUUCGUUCUCAGUCCUCCGACGUCUAAAUUCUACCAACGAAGUACCCCGAAGCUCGUGAGAACCUCCUUAAGCUCACUGUGAGCUUGAAAUUCCCUGAAACACAAUGUUUUAUGUGUGCAUGAACAGUGCACAUUUUCGGGGUUAGGGUUUCACGAUAAUUUCGAAGGUCUUAAGUUCCAAAAUUAGUAUGUUUGAACUCAGAGACUCAAGAUGAGUUCGAUUCUUACCUUAGAACCUUCGAUCUGUGAAGAAAUGGCGUAGAAUAAGCUUGUCCGUACGUGCACAGUGACAAAGGUGCAGAAAAACCGAGAGAGAGAAGGGAGAGAAAGUCCACGGGAGUGAGAGAGAAAAGGCAGGUUUGUGUGUGUGUGGUCCACAUUAAUCCCUAACCACACAAUUGAAAACAUAACCUAAGUUCCAAAUUAAAUUUCCACAAACUUAGGAAGGACAAUAUUAAUCAAAUGUAUAAGUCACACACACACCUUAGAAAUCUUUAGGGACAAUUCCAUCUUUUCAUACUUCGGUAAAAGAUCUCGGGACGGGCUGUGACACUUUUAAUUUGCAACAUUUAAAAAAAAAAUUGUAGUAUUUUCUUUUUAGUUUUAUUUUGUACUCAUGUAUUAAUUUCUUUUAGCACCUAUAUUUUUUUUAAAUUCAUUUGUACUCAUAAUUUUUUAAUCUUUUAUCUGUACCCUAAUUUAUUUAUAAUGUACCCAUUCUUCUUUGUUAAUGUACCACUUUGUUAUAUGUGAAAUGUACCAAUUUUUUUGUAAAAUGUACCAAUUUUUCUAACACAAUACAUUCUUUUGCCAUUUAUUAUUUCUUAUUUUUACAUAGUUUUUAUCCAUUUAUUCAAUCAAAAUGUUUGAAUUUUGUUAUUGUAACCGUUUCUAAUAGUAUUAUAAUGAGGGAUUUUAAAUUUAUAGGAUUAUAAAUCACAUAAAAUAUCAAACAAUUAAUGUCAAAACUAUAAAAAUAAAAAUAUUAAUUGUAAUAUAAUGAGGUGUUCAAAGUCAAUGAACUUUGAUCAAACUUUGAAUAUCAUUAAAGUUUAGUAAAAGAAUGUUAAGGAUUAGAGACUGCAUCCAAAAUAUAUUGGUAUUAAUUCAGUAUACUAAUGGACCCAAGCAGGCCAUUUUGAGUACUUAAAAAGUCCAUUGUGAUGUUAUGCUUCAAUACUUUUCGCAAAUUUUCUUGUGCGGACUAUAUUUGCAGACCAUCUACACGGACCAACUUAAACCAUUGGAUUUCAUCGGGACGUCUCACAAUAAAAUUGAACUCAUUGGUGGAACCAGAUCAUAAAUGACUCGUUAAUGGGAAAAUUUUGAAUAAAAUGUAAUAUAAGUUGAAUAAUUUAUAUAAAAUAGGAGAAAAAUCAUAAAACUAUUUCGGAAGUUGCUACUGACUCGUUGCAGGGUGCUCGCCAUUUUGAAGAAAACAGGGAAAAACUAUAUCAAACGAAUCACAAGGUGCAUGUGGUACAUAAUGAUUAAAAUAUUAUAUAAAGUGUUUGUGUAAAAUCAAGAAAAAUUGAAAAAAUAAUUUGAAUGUUCACAUGAACUUCUUGAACCGACUUAUUGAGAAAUGAGCAUAAAACCUCUAUUAUGAGUUGAAAUCAAGGUUCUAAAAGACAUUAAGCGUUAGUCAGGCGGUAGUUGGUGCCUAGCGCUAGUCGGGCAGUAGCUGGUGCCUAGCACCUAGGCUAUUAGGCGGAGCCUAGGCGAACUAGGCGAAUUUAAAUAAAUUUAUGAUCCAUAUGAUAAAUAAGGGUCUGCUUAUAUUUAAAAAAUACAUAAUUGCUUUGGAAUAUUGUCACAUCCCGGCCCGGGGCGGACCACUUCUUGGGCGCGCUCCACCACCAUAGCACGAUAUUGUCCGCUUUGGGCCCCGACUACGCCCUCACGGUUUUAUUUCUGGGAACUCACGAACAACUUCCCAGUGGGUCACCCAUCUUGGGAGUGCUCUGGCCUCCUUCUCGCUUAACUUCGGAGUUCCUACGGAACCCGAAGCUAGUGAGCUCCCAAAAGGCCUCAUGCUAGGUAGGGAUGGGAAUAUACAUUUAAGGAUCACUCCCCUGGGCGAUGUGAGAUGUUACAAUACCAGCACACCUUGAUUCUAGGAUCGGGGUGUGUCAAAUAUAUAAAUUGAAAAAUAAAAUGACAAAUAGAUUAUAAAGUAUUAGAACAUAAUGCAAAAUGAAAAAUAUCUAUUUUCUGUUUAAGUGAGAAGUGCGACCUACACAGGCUAGGCGAGUGCCUAAGUAGGUAUAGGAGCCAUUUCUUAAUUUUCAAACUGACACACCCCGACCCGGAAUGUCCACUAGGACUUCGAAUCAAGCUGUGCUGGCCAACACUUGGAAGGUGACGAAGCCAUAAAGUGUGAUAAUGUGGAAAAUUAUGAAUAAAUUUAAACCAAAGAGUGCCUUAAUACCAGAGUGCACUGGUGAGCGGGAAUGAACCCACUUCACACACAUGACGUUAGAGCAUAAGCAAGUACAGAAAAGUGAAUUAAGAAUCAUACCCUUGAAAUAGUCUCCGAUACUAAGAGUCGCCACGAGUCUUUGGUGAUAAGAAAACUCAGCUAAUAAAACCUAGAGGGUGAAGACAAGACAAAGAUGAGUAGCCUUGUAAGUAAAAUACUAAUAGAAAACAAAUAAAACAUUAUAAUCCCUCACUA